GUCUCUGGGGUACCCGGGGAUCAUUCCGCUGACAAUCAUGGAUGAGAAUGCAAAGAAAAAAAAACAGAGGAAGCAAAGAGCAAUUUUUUUUGGGGACAGUGAACAUUCAACGUAACUGAAGUUCUAACCACUUGCUCAUGAACUACCUUACCAAUUCAUCGCUAAGAGCAUCUCCAACAGUCCGUAUGUUCAAUCGUUGGUAUAAGUGUCCACAUCAUCAACCAACAGCACAUCAUACAAGCUCUU
rnacentral:lncRNA from 1 species